CGGUCACUUGUAUGCAAGCCAUGGUCGUGUGCGGAGCUCCAUACGUCUGCCUAAAGUGCUUCUCCGUUUUCUGGGAAUCGCUCGGGUCGAGGUCAAACCACACACACCUUUAAGAGGUACGGUAUCAAGGUUGUGUUGGCAUGUGAUGCCGAUUCGCAUUACCUGUGUAAUGCGAAUGCUUACUUGGGGAAGGACACAGUCUCGGUGCCGAGAGGACAGACAUUAGGAGAAGUAUUCACGACGGAGCUUGUGCAACCUUUUCGCCAAAGGGGCUGCACAGUGAGGAAAGAAAAUUUCUUCACGACGUUACCGCUCUCCUUGGCACUAGCUAACGAUGGCAUGUAUUUGUGUGGCACCAUUCGACAGAAACCUUAUAUUCCAAAGGAACUUUCUGAGAAGGUGCUUCCUGUCAAGGACUGAGUGGCCGUGUUCAAUUACAAACACAAUUUGACUCUUCAGUGUCAGGAAGUCAGCAGGACUAAAAAGGUGAUGCUGUCGAGUUCCCUGCAUCAUGAUCUGUCUGAGAUCGAGAGAAGGAAGACAGACAUUCAGAUGUUCUACAAUGCAACAAAAGGGGGUGUAGACACAUUCGAUCAGAUGUGUUCUACAUCAUAUUGUGUUUGUAAGACACAACGCUGGCCACUUUGCCUUUUCUAUGGGAUAUUGAAUAUAAUUAUGGUGAAAUCUUACAUUCUCUAUUUGUCCCUGCCAUCGUCAAAGAGUAUGACAAGGCGAAGGUUCUUCAAGGAGAUCGCCCUUGAAUUUCGUGCUCUCCUUGUAAGUCAUUGGUAUUACACGUUAACCGACUUGUCCAGGCCCCUGUGUGGUAAUGGAGGACACUUUCAGGCUGGCUGAGCUGGAACAUAGACCUCCUCCUGCCGUUGGCCACGUCAAGCUGCCCAUCUAGAGAAGACCACAAGCCAAACACGGCAUGUUUGCGGUGCAACGGGCCCAUCUGCCUGCAGCAUCAAACUGUCUUGUAUCCAAAGUAGCAAAUUUGGCCAUCUCACUUGGCGUGGUCAGGGGCCAUUUUGUAGGCAUAUCCGAAAGGUGGUAGAUGUGGUCGUGGUACAUUUUGUUGGCAUAUCCGAAAGAUUUUGACCUCUAUGGGUCCGACACCUUCUCUGGCAGUCACAUAUUUUAAAUAGUAGAUUUACAAAGGAUUCCCUCAGUUUCUGUGUGUAUAUAGGCU